rnacentral:lncRNA from 1 species
AAAUAAAAAAUAUAAAUAAUCAAAACAAAAAUUUGGCCAUGCGGGUUGGCGAAUACCUACACUUGUGUCCGGUAGAUUUUUUUUUUCUCAAUAUCAUACCCACCCCCAACCUACAAGGGGUGUAAGUUAAAAAUACUAAAUUUACUGACAAUUCACAAAAUUACUCGCAGUGGGUGAGAUUUUACAGGCGGAUUUGAUCGAAGAAAUAAAUGCCGAUUGUUGCAAAAUAGAUGGACCUCUGCUUUUAAGUAUAAACUACGUCUUUAAAUUACAAAGAGCAUCUCUUAAAUUUGAUCGAAGAAACAAUGGCUUUGAGUAUCGUCAAAGAAAGUGUUAUCCGAUCUUAGAAAACCUUCAUAAGACAAAUUCAAGAAGAUCAUAAAUAUUACAUUCUUGUCAUAUAUCAAUGUCACCGUAGCACUAUAUAUCACGUGAAGGAUGUCAUUUGUCGCAUAAACCAUCAAACAAAGGACUAGCAACAGGUGCAACAUGAUCGGCCCUUUUAUCAUCUAAAAUUAUUGUCGUUUUUUAAUUCGAGAAGAAAUAUUGUCAUAUGGGUAGACAAGAAAAUGACUUAUUUUGUACCCAUAUGAAAUUAAAUGUGGGACAAAAAGUGCUUUUAUAUAUAAAAAGGAAUUAAAUGUAGCAUUAAAUCUGGAAGGAGAAAGAGAGAAGCAGUUGCAAAUGGGCACUGUGUCAGAAUUCAGAAAGUACUUUUUUUUUUUUUGGGAUGGGGUUGCUUGUUGUUAAUGAGAUUUUAUUUACCUGAUUUGAAAAUUAAAAUAGUAUGGAGCAGUUCAAAGAAAUUUCACUGCCGUUGUGCCAGAUUACUUGCUUGCAUGCAAAUAAAAAGAUCAACAAGAAAACAACAGAAGUUAAUGAUUAAAUGAACAAGUAAUUCAAAAAAGUUUGAAAAAUUUCAGCUUUCCUACUCAU